AGUGAACGCUGGCGGUAGGCCUAACACAUGCAAGUCGAACGGCAGCACAGUAAGAGCUUGCUCUUACGGGUGGCGAGUGGCGGACGGGUGAGGAAUACAUCGGAAUCUACUUUUUCGUGGGGGAUAACGUAGGGAAACUUACGCUAAUACCGCAUACGACCUACGGGUGAAAGCAGGGGAUCUUCGGACCUUGCGCGAUUGAAUGAGCCGAUGUCGGAUUAGCUAGGUGGCGGGGUAAAGGCCCACCAAGGCGACGAUCCGUAGCUGGUCUGAGAGGAUGAUCAGCCACACUGGAACUGAGACACGGUCCAGACUCCUUCGGGAGGCAGCAGUGGGGAAUAUUGGACAAUGGGCGCAAGCCUGAUCCAGCCAUACCGCGUGGGUGAAGAAGGCCUUCGGGUUGUAAAGCCCUUUUGUUGGGAAAGAAAAGCAGCAGGUUAAUACCCCGCUGUUCUGACGGUACCCAAAGAAUAAGCACCGGCUAACUUCGUG
rnacentral:rRNA from 1 species